GCGAGAUGGAAGUGUAACAGCAUCAAGUCAUAUACUCUGCACAUCUAUAAGUUCUCAGUCAGGAAUAACAAAACAAACACAGAGAUGGUGUUUCAGAACAAGACCUUGUCGAUUUCUCUGAUAUGGCUCAUUGUCGCCGCGUCUUUCAUGAUGUGUGCUUAUGCAAGUGCUGAAACAAGUGCUCGACCUCAAAAUGCAGACCCGAGAUUCCCUUCUCUGGCUGGUAAGAACUAUAACUAGAUAAUAAUUUGCUGGAAAUUAUGUUUUGCAUUACUGACCUGACCCGUAUUUACUUGCAGGUUGUCGCUGCUGUAAUUUUAUCCUUGUGAAGAAUUUCAUCCAGUGUGGAACGGUAUGCUGCAAGGAUGGAUGUUGUGGUCGCAAGUGAAGCUCCUGUCAGCCACACCAUGCAUCAAGCCAUGAAUAAUGCAGUCGAACGACGAUAUAUCUCCAUCUGGAGACGCUUCAUCCUUGAUUGUCAAUUUACUUCUAUUUCCUGUUAAAAAUGUUUGGUAACUGAAAAAAGUGUAAUAAGUUCGAACAUGUAAUAAAUAACACAUAUUACUAAAAUAUAUAUGCAGCUUUAGGCUUUUCAUAAUACCAUAUGAAUGUCUACAUAAACAAAUGAGGCUCUUUAUAACAUCCACAGAUUAUACUCUCCCGUCUCCACCUAGAAUCAUCUAUUAGUUUCCACUGUCUAACACUGUAAUGGUACAGUGUGGUAUAAUAUUAGCCGGAAGUAAAAGCUCUGGUUGACGUCUCAACCUCCACAUGAACUAUUAGCAAGUAGAAAGCUGAAGACCGAAAACACAUUCAAAAAGUGAAAAUUUUCCAAAACAAAUUUUCUACACUUUCUAAAAAGUGCAGAACAAUUGUUCUCACUGUUCUCAUAAACAAAAUGUUCUCACCUAAAUCACUGUCUGUAUAUAUAUAAUAAUUUUCAACAGGAGUUCAUUGUUCGGGUUGACCCGUACAAUCUACCAGAAUCAACCUGAUUUCAAUUCGUUCCGAACUGAAAUUGAGACAAGGUUUUUGAACUCUUGGCGGCUGACACUACAUGCUCCGACGUGCAUGAUGAUGAAUCAACAGAAAACGGUACAUUGAUCUCAAUUCUCAUCUAUCACGAUUUUCCGAUGCACGGCUCUGUUAUAAACUGUAAAAGUUGAAUAGAAAAUAGAGAACCAAGAACUUAGUUUUACACCUCCAUUGUAACCUGUAAAAUUUUAAUAGAAAAUAGAGAACCAGAACAUAGUUUUACACCGCUCUAGCAAAAUACUAAGAAAAGCAGCAGCUUCAUGCAUUUCAUAAUAAGAUAUGAAUCUUCACACACAAAAUGAGUCUCUCUUAAUAUAUAUGAAAACAUAUGAAUCCAAAAAUGGGACUGAAGCUACAAUAAAAUCUGUGUGCCUAAACUCUAAAUUGCACCAUCUAUAUAGUAUACAUUCAUUACACCUACUAAUUUUCUAAUUAAAUGGAAGUGGAACUGCCUUGAAAAACCACUUCGAAAUCCCUCACUUCAUCAAAACCCAAACCACCCAAAUAAUCAACAACAAACCCGUAGCCCACCUGUUAUCCAAGCCACAGCCUAAAGACUUGCUGUAUUCAGUGACCCCGACAAGAAAUCUGCACUCGCCUAUGGAGGGAUCAAGAAAAGUGAUCAUCCCUAAUCCAUCAAAGUCACAGCUUUGUGAAUUCUGUUUUGUUAUCUGAUAAUAACUGUUAAAAGCAUAUGAGAUAUUCCCAUUUACCCCAAUGUCAUUACACGAUCCUCCAUAAUUAAGCGUAGUGCAGUCUGCAACCGUACAGGCGAGUUUAAAGUGGUUGGCCACCCCAGAAAGGUCCCUGGAUGGGUUUGCCACACACCACCUCGAUGGUAGAUAUUUGACAUUCCUUGCUUCUUUUAGAAACUUAUUUCCCAAGCCCAGAUUAAGGGCGUACUUUGCCUGGCCAUCAAAAGAGAAGAUACCCCAAUGUCUUUCAAAGUUUCCUGGGAGUACACUCUUUGCCCCUUCAUCAAGAAGACUUAAAAGAUAGAUAUCAACUGGUGGGACAUCUGGGAGUUCCUUUUUAGUUUUUCAUGCACCCUGAUUUUAUAAACAGAAUGAUGGGAACUCUGAAAUUUAUUUUUGCAGCAGAACUGAGAAGUAGAAACGAGAACUAGUGCUUACGGAAAGCAUAAUGAUAAAACUAGAUAUUUGAAAAGAGUUCACAAGUGAAGUGGAUACCUGAGUGUUUGUUUUUCUAUCCAUAUUCAGUGGCCUAACAAGGCAAUGACUUAAAAAGACCAAGUUGGCUCAAAAUAAUAAUGUAAUGUAAUCAGUAAUGGGUUUGGGCCAAUCCCUUAUUGCAGCAAAUUAUCCGCCGUUUUUUUAGUGGAAAGACAUUAACUUUUUCUUUUCACAACAAAAAAGACCGGAUAAUUUGUUGUCAACAAUCAAUUGUAAUUGUCGGAGACCAUCUCCUCUGGCAAGUGCAUGAAUUUGUUUCUGGAAAUGAUGUUAGAAUCUCCUUUACUGAAGUAUCCUGUAUGAAUGUAAUCAACUUGCAUUUUGUAGACAAAGAUCUGCCUAACAUGACAACAGACUAGAAGUCGGUCAACAGAUAAGGCUUCAUGGAUUUGGAUGAGAGUAAGCAGUAUCAGUUGACUACUGAGCAUGCCGAUAUGAAAUUUCUAUCUUGCUUUGAAAUUAUUGUCCGAAUUUUUGUAUAAAUAGAGCAAGAGAUGUAAGUGUAACAGCAUCAGAUCAUAUACUCUGCACAUCUCUAAAUUCUCAGUCAGGAAUAACAAAACAAACACGAAGAUGGUGUUUCAGAACAAGACCUUGUCGAUUGCUCUGAUAUGGCUCCUUGUCGCCGCGUCUUUCAUGAUGUGUGCUUAUGCAAGUGCAGAAACAAGUGCUCGACCUCAAAAUGUGGACCCGAGAUUCCCUUCUCU
rnacentral:lncRNA from 1 species